GUAGGUGAACCUGCGGAAGGAUCAUUAGUGAAUUUAGCGCAUCUGCUUGCAGAGCGUGACCCCACUCUAUACACUGUGCACUUAUUGGCGAAGGAAAAGAUUGUCAUUUCGAUUUCGAUUUUUUUUCUUUGCGGCUCACUUUUAAACACCAGUCAAAGUAUGUAUAUAAAUAAAAUAAGAAAAACUUUCAACAACGGAUCUCUUGGCUCUC
rnacentral:misc_RNA from 1 species